UCUUCUUCUUCUUCUUCACUUGGAAUGUCACAUAUGGAACCCUCUCUCCUUUGGGAAAACCACAGCAAGUGAUUCUCAUCAACGAUCAAUUUCCAGGGCCUGUCAUAAACUCCACAAGCAACAACAAUGUUGUCGUCAAUCUUUUCAAUAAUCUUGACGAGCCUUUUCUCUUGACAUGGAGCGGCAUCCAACAGAGGAAGAAUUAUUGGCAGGAGGGUGUGCUUGGAACCAACUACCCAAUUCCCCCUGGAACUAACCACACUUAUCAUUUUCAAGUCAAGGACCAAAUUGGGAGCUUUCUUUACUACCCAAGCACAUCAAUUCACAAAGCAAAUGGUGCAUUUGGUGGCCUUCAUAUCAAUAGUCGUUUGCUCAUUCCUGUCCCUUAUGAUGCUCCUGAGGAUGACUUCACUGUUAUUGUUAAAAUCGACUGGAGCCUGGAACAUGGGCACCUGAAAAGAGGAAGCACUACAAUCUUCUCGACGCAGUUAGCAGGACAACAGUGCAAGUAUUUCCAAAAUCAUGGGCAGCAAUCUUCUUGACAUUUGACAACGCUGGAAUGUGGAACUU